rnacentral:rRNA from 2 species
UUAAGCGACUAAGCGUACACGGUGGAUGCCCUGGCAGUCAGAGGCGAUGAAGGACGUGCUAAUCUGCGAAAAGCGUCGGUAAGGUGAUAUGAACCGUUAUAACCGGCGAUGUCCGAAUGGGGAAACCCAGUGUGAUUCGUCACACUAUCGUUAACUGAAUACAUAGGUUAACGAGGCGAACCGGGGGAACUGAAACAUCUAAGUACCCCGAGGAAAAGAAAUCAACCGAGAUUCCCCCAGUAGCGGCGAGCGAACGGGGAGCAGCCCAGAGUCUGAAUCAGCUUGUGUGUUAGUGGAACGGUCUGGAAAGUCCGACGGUACAGGGUGAUAGUCCCGUACACCAAAAUGCACAGGUUGUGAACUCGAAGAGUAGGGCGGGACACGUGGUAUCCUGUCUGAAUAUGGGGGGACCAUCCUCCAAGGCUAAAUACUCCUGACUGACCGAUAGUGAACCAGUACCGUGAGGGAAAGGCGAAAAGAACCCCGGCGAGGGGAGUGAAAAAGAACCUGAAACCGUGUACGUACAAGCAGUGGGAGCACCUUCGGGUGUGACUGCGUACCUUUUGUAUAAUGGGUCAGCGACUUAUAUUCUGUAGCAAGGUUAACCGUAUAGGGGAGCCGCAGGGAAACCGAGUCUUAACUGGGCGUUAAGUUGCAGGGUAUAGACCCGAAACCCGGUGAUCUAGCCAUGGGCAGGUUGAAGGUUGGGUAACACUAACUGGAGGACCGAACCGACUAAUGUUGAAAAAUUAGCGGAUGACUUGUGGCUGGGGGUGAAAGGCCAAUCAAACCGGGAGAUAGCUGGUUCUCCCCGAAAGCUAUUUAGGUAGCGCCUCGUGAAUUCAUCUUCGGGGGUAGAGCACUGUUUCGGCUAGGGGGUCAUCCCGACUUACCAACCCGAUGCAAACUACGAAUACCGAAGAAUGUUAUCACGGGAGACACACGGCGGGUGCUAACGUCCGUCGUGAAGAGGGAAACAACCCAGACCGCCAGCUAAGGUCCCAAAGUCAUGGUUAAGUGGGAAACGAUGUGGGAAGGCACAGACAGCCAGGAUGUUGGCUUAGAAGCAGCCAUCAUUUAAAGAAAGCGUAAUAGCUCACUGGUCGAGUCGGCCUGCGCGGAAGAUGUAACGGGGCUAAACCAUGCACCGAAGCUGCGGCAGCGACACUAUGUGUUGUUGGGUAGGGGAGCGUUCUGUAAGCCUGCGAAGGUGUGCUGUGAGGCAUGCUGGAGGUAUCAGAAGUGCGAAUGCUGACAUAAGUAACGAUAAAGCGGGUGAAAAGCCCGCUCGCCGGAAGACCAAGGGUUCCUGUCCAACGUUAAUCGGGGCAGGGUGAGUCGACCCCUAAGGCGAGGCCGAAAGGCGUAGUCGAUGGGAAACAGGUUAAUAUUCCUGUACUUGGUGUUACUGCGAAGGGGGGACGGAGAAGGCUAUGUUAGCCGGGCGACGGUUGUCCCGGUUUAAGCAUGUAGGCUGGUUGUCCAGGCAAAUCCGGAUAAUCAAGGCUGAGGUGUGAUGACGAGGCACUACGGUGCUGAAGUAACAAAUGCCCUGCUUCCAGGAAAAGCCUCUAAGCAUCAGGUAACAUCAAAUCGUACCCCAAACCGACACAGGUGGUCAGGUAGAGAAUACCAAGGCGCUUGAGAGAACUCGGGUGAAGGAACUAGGCAAAAUGGUGCCGUAACUUCGGGAGAAGGCACGCUGGUGUGUAGGUGAAGUCCCUGCGGAUGGAGCUGAGACCAGUCGAAGAUACCAGCUGGCUGCAACUGUUUAUUAAAAACACAGCACUGUGCAAACACGAAAGUGGACGUAUACGGUGUGACGCCUGCCCGGUGCCGGAAGGUUAAUUGAUGGGGUUAUCCGUAAGGAGAAGCUCUUGAUCGAAGCCCCGGUAAACGGCGGCCGUAACUAUAACGGUCCUAAGGUAGCGAAAUUCCUUGUCGGGUAAGUUCCGACCUGCACGAAUGGCGUAAUGAUGGCCAGGCUGUCUCCACCCGAGACUCAGUGAAAUUGAACUCGCUGUGAAGAUGCAGUGUACCCGCGGCAAGACGGAAAGACCCCGUGAACCUUUACUAUAGCUUGACACUGAACAUUGAGCCUUGAUGUGUAGGAUAGGUGGGAGGCUUUGAAGCGUGGACGCCAGUCUGCGUGGAGCCAACCUUGAAAUACCACCCUUUAAUGUUUGAUGUUCUAACGUUGGCCCCUUACCGGGGUUGCGGACAGUGUCUGGUGGGUAGUUUGACUGGGGCGGUCUCCUCCCAAAGCGUAACGGAGGAGCACGAAGGUUAGCUAAUCCUGGUCGGACAUCAGGAGGUUAGUGCAAUGGCAUAAGCUAGCUUGACUGCGAGCGUGACGGCGCGAGCAGGUGCGAAAGCAGGUCAUAGUGAUCCGGUGGUUCUGAAUGGAAGGGCCAUCGCUCAACGGAUAAAAGGUACUCCGGGGAUAACAGGCUGAUACCGCCCAAGAGUUCAUAUCGACGGCGGUGUUUGGCACCUCGAUGUCGGCUCAUCACAUCCUGGGGCUGAAGUAGGUCCCAAGGGUAUGGCUGUUCGCCAUUUAAAGUGGUACGCGAGCUGGGUUUAGAACGUCGUGAGACAGUUCGGUCCCUAUCUGCCGUGGGCGCUGGAGAAUUGAGGGGGGCUGCUCCUAGUACGAGAGGACCGGAGUGGACGCAUCACUGGUGUUCGGGUUGUCAUGCCAAUGGCACUGCCCGGUAGCUAAAUGCGGAAGAGAUAAGUGCUGAAAGCAUCUAAGCACGAAACUUGCCCCGAGAUGAGUUCUCCCUGAGACUUUAAGUCUCCUGAAGGAACGUUAAAGACGAUGACGUUGAUAGGCCGGGUGUGUAAGCGCAGCGAUGCGUUGAGCUAACCGGUACUAAUGAACCGUGAGGCUUAACCUU